UGGCUUGACACAAUAACGCCUAUAACUAAACAAAGUCCACUGUGAUAACUAAUUUUCCUACUUUAACCACUCUCACGAAACGAUUUUAAACGACCAGAACGGCGUGUUGUAAUGUUACAGGAAGUAUCGGGAACGUGAAACAUCAUGGCGUUUUUUAAUAUUUGGCCAGUUCUACUACUAGCCCACCUUUUCUUUCGAAGAAAUGCUGCUGAAUCAACCUGGAAAGUUAGCUGGUAGAGUUGUGGAAAGAGGUUAGUGAUUGUGGGCCGCAAGACGAUAUUAAUACAAACCAUAGAAAGAUGUAACUAUCCUUGUCAAAAUUGAUUUUCAGAUAGUCAAGAUUUAAUCUAAAUAAGGUGGGCCUAGUGUAGACUUGAUUAGGACCAUUGCCAUAUAUCAUUAAAGAGGCCUAUCUUAGAUGACUGAACUUCUAGACCAAGUAGAGGGUUCUGAUGCUGCAGAGAACUUACUAAACAAACAUAAACAGAUUACUUGGAGUCAAAGUUUCCUCAAGGAAGAAGAACCAAGCUUAAAGACAGAGUUUAUACAAGAUUCAGA
rnacentral:lncRNA from 1 species